rnacentral:rRNA from 1 species
UACGUAGGGCGCAAGCGUUGUCCGGAAUCAUUGGGCGUAAAGAGCUCGUAGGCGGCCUGUCGCGUCCGCUGUGAAAUCCCGGGGCUCAACCCCGGGCGUGCAGUGGAUACGGGCUGGCUGGAGGCCGGCAGGGGAGAACGGAAUUCCCGGUGUAGCGGUGAAAUGCGCAGAUAUCGGGAGGAACACCGGUGGCGAAGGCGGUUCUCUGGGCCUGUACUGACGCUGAGGAGCGAAAGCGUGGGGAGCGAACAGG